GGAUAUAGUCUGAAAUCCUGAUGGAAAUAACAGUGAAUAGCUCAUCAGCCUCCAGGAAGAUGAAUCUGAAACAUUUUCUGAGACAAAGACAAAUCAGUAUUGUUGAACUGCCCAUUGCCACUCCAGAUGAAACAAGAUCGAAUGCUGAAGCCUAUUAAACUGCAAUGCUGUCACUGAAGCCUGUUGUUUCUGUUAGCCCUGAUAUCUUGCCUUUGCAAAUGGCACAUUCAGUGUGAAGAAUGAGUCCAAAUCUCCAUACAGAACUGAGUGUGAUUCCACUGGGAAACUGGCAGAUUUUGCAGUUUACAAAAUAGAAACCUGUGGAGAUGAAACCACUGAAUACAGCUCCAUUUGCCUUCUGGACUUCUCUGAUGAAAUCCCAAAGGAGGAACUAGAAAGUGCUACAUGGUUUCAGAGUUCUCUUCUGCAGACAAAGGCAUCCCUGACAGACAAUUCAAACUUGGAUAUUCAACACCAGGCAUGUGCAACAGUGAGAACUGGAUUUUUGUUCUUGUUCCUCAUUCGCAUAUAAUUCCCUGCACAUUCAGAGGAUUACACACUGUUUAUGCAUCAUGCAAUCUCACUGAGUCCUGUUUCUUUACAGUACUUACUCCUGCUGCUAAAGGGAAAAUAGGCUCUAACAAUCCUCUUUUCGUGCCAAAGCUGCUGCUACUGAAUGAACACAUCCUGCCUGCAGUAGUCUGAUUGAUCCCUGCGAUCCCUGUAUCCAACAGAAGUUCAAAAGGAUUCUGCUGCUCAAAGGACUAAAAUUGGUAUUCGUUUAAGAUUUACUGGCAAACUAAAGCUCCUUCAUGUAACAGCAGAUGCCGUUCUGCCUUUCAACUCCACAGCACACCAAAGUGGCAUCGAACAAGUUCAAACUUUGGAUGGCCUUGACAACGUACUACACCUUAAGACUGCCAUUUCCUAGCUCAGAAUCCUCUUUAGCUCACGAGCAAUAGCUAACAUCACUGAACUUAGACACAGCUCGCAGCUCCACUCUGAAGCAGGACACAUAUAUCUGGAACCUGCUCAAAAUAAUAAAUUCUAAAUAAUUUAGCGCACGGUAGCGCUUUACACAGCUACUGUUAAGUCUACCUUUGCAGCCUGUCAAACCCCAUUGCCUUUAAAAGCUCAGUCCUGCUGCUAUGAACUACAAUUCAUACAUCCUUACAACCCCUUGCAGUGCUUGGG